CCCCGCACCCCCGCAGCGCAAGGCCGCCGGCCUCUCCUCCCCCGCCCUCCGGCUGGUCGCUGGCGCCGAGUGAUGCGUGCGGAGCGGGACAGCAGCACCGGGCCUAGAGCAGGACCAGGCGUUCCCUGCGGAAGCAAAACACCGCUCGCCGGCCUCGUUACGUUUGAAAUCUGUUAAAAUGACCACGGCCGGCUGGGUCCAAGGUCACAUACAACCCAAGUACUGUCAUCCAGACUCCUGCUACUCCCUAAGCCAGCACCAGGAACUUGCUAGAAAUGCAGAACCUUAGACCCCAGAACUACUGAGUCAGAAUCGUUGCUUUAAAAGCAAAACAAACCCCAGUCUCAGAGCUUGCUGGCUCUCUGAAAGAUGUGGAAGUGAAUGGUCCAGAGGGACAGACUCAAGCCUGAGAAGCAUCAAAAAACGAUUCCCUGAGAUGAGGAAGUAGAAGUACAGGGAUGGAGACGAGCCGUCCCAGUGUUGUCAUUAUUAACUAUCAUUACUGAGCCCAGAGCUGGGAUUUGAGUCUAUUCCGUCCAACUGCAGAGGCUGUGUUCUCAGAGACCACGAAGCACUGCUUCUCACCUGACCUGAGGACGAGAGCCAGGAUCUCAGAGCCUGGAUCUCACAUGUAGCUCGACAGUGGUGCCUGAAGAAGACAGUCUGGGGGUCCUUGCUAUGGAGACUCUGUCCCUCUAGAAGCAGCCACUGAAGAAGGAGAUUUCCCAAGGUUGUCAAUUCUAGGAGACUGGAAACCAUUUUAGAAGCAGCCUAUGAAACUCCUGCAGAGCUGUAACGUGCUUCCCCUGCUCAGGAAAAGGCUCACUUGCUCCCCCUGCAAAUAUACCAGGGGACGGCUGUUGGUGAAUUUCACAGAGCUGAGUCACAGGCACGCUCUGCAGAGCAACUCCUCCUCUUAUCUGACAGUCACGCGGCCCUCCCUCUGGAACCAGUUUCUGGUUCAUGCCCUUUCUAUUAUGAUAACUGGGAAAAUAAGCAGCUCAUUGCAGAGGCUAUUCACUCGAAAAAUUCACAGCCAAAACCACUGAUUAAAUCACAGCCAAAGGAGGCUGCACUUGUUCCUAUGUUCAGGUCAUUCCAGGUUUUCUUUAUACUUCAAAUUCAAAUGAUCUCUAAAUGGAAAAAAAAAGUGAUAUAAUAUAUUUAGAAGAGGUGUAGGAAAUAUCUAUUUAAAAACUUCAAAAGAGCACAUUUUCAAAGGGAAGGGAAAUGAUCCUAAAACUGGAUUCGGCGUGAUUUGUAUUAAGAAACAUUGACCUGGUUUAUAACAAAUGAAAUGAUAGGUUAGGCUUAGAUAUUUUUAGAAACGGCAUAUAAUUUUUAUCUCAGAAACCUCUAUCAGACUUUGGUUAUACUACGCAUGUAUUGCCUUCUGAUCAUUGCCUUUCCAGGGUUAGGAAUAGUAGCACUCCAACUAGAUUGCAUAGUGCUCUGUAUUAUCUAAAGUCGCCUGUUCGCAGAUGGGAAAUUAAUGCCCAAUGCUAUGCCAUCCUGAGAGGCGAGGGUAGGUGGUAUAUAGCUCCUCAUCUGAGCCAUAAAAUGUUGAGCAGUGUAGUGAGUAUGCUAGACCUAGGGCUGUGGAACAGUCUUGCUGAGGUUGGAACAUCAGCUCUACCGCUUGCUGUGACCUUGGGCAAGUCCCUGAACCUUGCUAGACCAGGAUUCUCAUUUAUGUAAUGAGUGGUGAAGAGUCCUUCCUCUUUGGGUCCUGGAAACAUUAGAGGAGAUGAUGCUUGCAUGGGACCUUAUCCAUUUUAAGUGUUAGUCUUUGGCAAACAGCUUCCAAGAGCACUCUUCAUACAACCUCCUUUGCUGGGAAGAAGGCCUCAUUUACUAAAACUCCUAGGAAAAUCAAAUUGCUUGGUAUCCACUUUUCUGACAUUUUUGAAGCGACAACUUCUAAUGAAACAAUUUGCCCAGGCAGUUAAUUAUAUUAGAAGACUCUGUUCUUCUCUCUCUUUUAGGGAUCCUAUGAACAUUAGCAAUGUUUUAAUUUAAAUGCCUAGGGGGAGGGCUAAGAGCUACUCUGUUGGGAACAUAAAAGAGGUAUUUUGUGUCAGGCUGAACAUCACAUCAAAAAAUGGGUGUCUGCUUGCCCUGCUGCUGAAUGCUGAUACUGAAAGGCAAUAUUAUGUUCUGAGGCCAAUUUUCUAAAAGAUACCACCAAUCAAGCUCAGUGAGAAAGAGGAGGAGGUGUCUCUGAUGAAUGUAUUUAUGUUAAUUUGAUAUUGGCCAGGAAAAGCAUUGAAGCAGAGAAGCUAUGAGACUCCUCUUGGCAUUAGUGUUAGUUUGGGCUUGAAAAUGCUCAUGAUAGCUGCUACUUGAUUGGUGUUAUUAUUUUUGAUGUACCAAUCUUAACUUUUCCUUCAAAAUUUACUUUAAAGACUUCAAACACCCUUUAUUAAUAAGGACAUAACUUUGUAUAAAAAUAGAACCCCCCCAAAGAGAGGUGUGCAUGUGAUGAAAGUUUACUGCCUUUUUUUAUUUUGUUUUGUUUUAGUUUAUUGCUUUCUUACACAAAAGCUCAAAGAUCCAGGACUGAUGGUGUAACCUUGCUAUUCUCAACAUGAAUUCCACCUUGAGGUCCAAGGAACAGAUCCAAUGUUCACCACUUUCUGUCAGCACAAAAAGGAAAGAUAAAGGACAAACAACUUUCUUUGUAAGGGAUUUUCCCCACCAAUUACAGAUAUAAUAUGUUUGGCCUGAAUGUAGUCACGAGCUGUAAGGGAGUCUAGGUUGGUGGCUACAUGCCCAGUUGUAACUGAAGAGAUUCUAUAGCUGCAAGAAGAAAGAGAAUGUCAAUUGGGGGUGAUGAGCAAUCGGUAGCAGAGGUUCCUUCCCUAAUCAAAGCUAGCACUUUAGUUCCUAUUGUAUCCAUGUCUGCUUUGCUAAAUAAAUUCUCCAUGAACCGUUCUGGCUACAGUGGUCACGAUGGGCAACUUGCAGUUUCUUGAAUUCAUUUUUGCACUUUUGC